ACUGGGACUGGUUAGACAGUGGGUGCAGCCCACAGAGGGCACAGACUGAGGAACUGCGCUUGGCCUAAUAAGAAUGAUUCCCCUGGGGGAAAGAAACAGAAGAGCAUUUGACAACUACAUGGGCUGGCAUAAUGGAUUGGAAUUUAAAGGUGCUACAAAUGUGCCACCAGUUUAUCACAUGGGACAUUUUCUCACAGAGUGAAGCAGGAAGCUGGUGGGCCUAGGCCAGGAAGGCAGAGUGAAAUUUCAUGACGCUUAGAAGACAAAGAGCCUUGCUAAAAUUAAGUGAAUGGUCCUGCAACAAAUACACAACAGGUCUCCCUUCUUAAGAAAUCCGCCAGAUUGUAAGACUGCAUGGGGAGAGAAGCACGAAAGAAUUAAGUUUAAAACUCCAAAGCACAGAAAAAUGCUGAGGAGACAGGGACUCACGAGGCUUUCAAUCAGAAGCCUGAAAUGGUCACACUUGAGCAUGUUGCUGGCUGGAAAGGCAGAGUAAAAUGUCUUGUGAUUUCAUGGUGUUCAAAUCUCUGAAGGACAGAUGACUCUCCAUUGGUAUUUCAGGCUUUCCCUACAGUAGGCAAGUACUUUGGACCUACCAGUCUUUCAACCAAAAGCUCAGAAGGGUCACCUCUAAGGAACAGGUAUAAAUCAGAGGUGAACUAAGUUUCAUUAAAACUAUACCUCAGCUCCAACCUAGCUCAAUUCCAGAUUGGAUGUGGUGAUUUUCACCUUACCACAUCUAGUUAACAAGGAAAAGUUUGCACCAUCUCUGGGGGAAAAUAGUAUCACCUGUACUUUCUACUAUACACAAUAUAUGCAUAUAGUUAAAAUUAUAACACAUAUAGGAGGAAGAAAAAGGAUAUCAAUAAUCAAGAUAAAAAACAAACAGAGCCAAAUCCACCAUGAUCUAUAUGGUGGAAUUAGCAGACAAAUAUUUUAAUUUAAUUUAAUUUUUUUUUUUUUAGAGAUGGGGUUUUGCCAUGUUGGCCAAGCUGGUCUCAAACUCCUGGCCCCAAAUGACCAGCCUGCCUUGGCCUCCCAAAGUGUUGGGAUUUACAGGAGUGAGCCACCAUUCCUGGCCCCCCAAAAUUAAAAAUCACUAUUACAAAUUUUAAAAAAAUAAUUGAAGAAGAGAUAUAAAAGUAGGUGAAAAAGUAGAGUGAAAAUGUCUAGUGAAUUAAAAUUUAUUUAAAAGAAUCAAAUGAACAAUCCAGAAAUGAAAUAAUAAACUAAUCAAAUGGGUUUAAGGACAUAUUAGAAAGACUAGUGAACACAAAAACAGGUCCAAUAAAAAUAUUCAAACAGAACAUAGAAAGAAUAAGAAAAACAACAGUAAUAAAAGACAUGCAGGACAGAUUCAAAUCGCCUAACAUAUAUAUAAUUGGAAUUUUGAAUGGAGAAGAGAAAGAGAAUGGGGGUGAAGCAAUAUUUAAAGAAAUAAUGGCCAAGGAUUUUCUUAAAUUGAUUUAAAAAAUGUAUCAGGCUAGGUGCAGUGGCUCACGCAUAUAAUCCCAGAACUUUUGGAAGCCAGUGCAGGUGGAUUGCUUGAACUCUGGAGUUUGAGACCAGUCUUGGCAACAUGGUGAAACCCCAUUUCUACUAAAAAAUACCAAAAAAAAUUAGCUGGACAUGGUGGUGUGCACCUGUGGUACCAGAUACUCGCAAGGCUGAGGUGGGAGGAUUAUCUGAGCCCAGGAAGUUAAGGCUGCAGUGAACCAUAAUUGCACCACUGAACCCAGCUUGGACAACAGAGUGAGACCCUGUCUCAAAAAAUACAUGUAUAUUAAAUAAAAUACAUAUUCAAGAGGUUCAGGAUAAAUGCAAAGAUUACCAUGCCCAGAUACAAUUUGGUAAAACUUCUGAAAUCAGAGAUAAAAAACUAAAAUCUUAAAAUCAGCUAGAAAAAAAUGAAGCAUUAUCUUUAAAAGAGCAACAAUAAGAUUUCCAACUGACUUUUCAGCAGAAGCAACAAAGAAUAUGGAAUGACAUCAUUCACUUGCUAAAAGAAAAAAUUCCCAACCUAGAAUUCUAUACCAAGAAAAAGUUUUCUUCAAAAUAAUGUGAGAUAGGUUGGGCACGGUGGCUCAUGCCUGUAAUCCCAGCACUUUGGGAGGCCGAGGCGGGCGGAUCACUUGAGGCCAAGAGUUCAAGACCAGCCUGGCCAACAUGGUGCAACCCUGUCUUCACUAAAAAUACAAAAAUUAGCUGGGCAUGGUGGUGCAUGCCUGUAAUUACUCCCAGCUACUUGGGAGGCCAAGGCAGGAGAAUCACUUGAAUCUGGGGGGCAGAGGUUGCAGUGAGCUGAGAUAGCACCACUACACUCCAGCCUGGGUGACACAGUGAGACUGUGUGUCAUAAAAAAAAAAAAAAAAACAACUUUGGACCAAAGGAAAAAACAAAACCCAGAAAACAAAAACUAAGUGAAUUUAUUUCUAGAAAAUCCACACAAUAAUAAAUUCUAGAAGAAGUUCUUUAGGCUGAAGGAAAAUGAUCCCAGAUGAAGUACAGAGCUGCGGGAGAAAUGAAAAAUAACAGAGUGGUAAAUAUGUGAGUCAGUAUAAAAGUAACCAGAUUUUUUAAAAAGCGACAAUAAUACAGAUGGUUCCCAACUUGCAAUGGUCUGACUUAAGAGUUUUCAACUCUACAAUGGUGCAAAAGCAAUAACAUUCAGUAGAAAUCAUACUUUGAGUACCCAUACAACCAUUCUGUUUUUCAUUUUCAGUAUCAUAUUUGGUAAGUUACAUGAGAUAUUCAACACUUUGUUAUAAAGUAGGCUUUGUGUUAAUUUUGCCCAUGUAGGCUAAGGUAAGUGUCCCGAGCAUACUGAAGGUAGGCUGCUCUAAGCUAUGAUGCCAGGUAGAUUAGGUUAUUAAAUGCUUUUUUUUUUUUUUUUUUGAGAUGGAGUCUCGCUCUGUCGCCCAGGCUGGAGUGCAAUGGCACUAUCUCGGCUCACUGCAAGCUCCGCCUCUCGGGUUCACGCCACUCUCCUGCCUCAGCCUCCCAAGUAGCUGGGACUACAGGCGCCCACCACUGCGCCCAGCUAAUUUUUUGUAUUUUUAGUACAGACGGGGUUUCACCAUGUUAGCCAGGAUGGUCUUGAUCUCCCGACCUCGUGAUCCACCUGCCUCGGCCUCCCAAGGUGCUGGGAUUACAGGCGUGAGCCACCACGCCCGGCCAAUUAAAUGCUUUUUUAAAAAAAAAAAAAAUAUUGAGACAGGGUCUUGCUCUGUUGCCCAGGCUGGAGUGCAGUGGCAAGAACAGGACUCACUGCAGCCUCAACUUCCUAGGCUCAAGUAAUCCUCCCACCUAAGCCUCCUGAGUAACUGGGACCACACGUGCAUGCUACCACAUCUGGCUAAUUUUUUUUUUUAAUUUUUGUAGAGGCGGAGUCUCCCCAGAUUUCCCAGGCUGGGUUUUAACUCCUGGACUCAGGUGAUCCUCCCGCCUCAGCCUUCCAAAAUACUGGGAUUAUAGGCGUGAGCCACUGGGUUCGGCCCUAAAUGUAUUUUUGACUUAUGAUAUCUUCAAUUUAGAAUGGAUUUAUCUGAACAUAACCCCAUCAUAAGUUGAGGAGCACCUAUGGUGUCUUGUGAGGUUUAUUCCAUAUAUAGAAAUAAAAUAUAUGACAACACUACAAAAGGUUGAAGGGGGAUAAAAGGAAUUAAACUGUUGUAAGAUUUCUCUAUUGUAGAAGUACUGAUUUAUUUUUACCGUAUUUACUGCCUUAUUGAUUAGUGAGUAUAAUGAGUCAAAUAUAAAGAGGUCUCGAGAGUAUUGUGUAAUCUGAUAGCUAGUAGCCACAUGUCACUAUGGAGCACCUGAUGUGACUAGCUCAAAUUGAGAUGCAAUGUAAGAAUAAAACAUCCACCAGAUUUGGAAGCUGUAGUACGAAAGAAUGUAAAAUAUCUCAUAACAAUUUUUUAUAUUAAAUAUGUCUUGAAAUGAUAGUAUGUUGGGUACAUUUGGUUAAAUAAAAACAUUAUUCAAAUUAA